GUCACAAUAUAUUGUGUGUCAACCAUUUUUCAUUUCGCUACGACAACAAAAGCACUUGAACACAACACACUCAUAAUUUCCAAUUCACCAGUACAAAGGAUCAUCUUCCUGACAGCACGUGAAGGCAGCAUUAA